rnacentral:rRNA from 1 species
UACGGAGGGUGCGAGCGUUGUCCGGAAUCAUUGGGCGUAAAGGGCGCGUAGGCGGUCACGCACGUCCGUUGUGAAAUCGCUCGGCUCAACUGGGCGGGGUCAGCGGAUACGGUGUGGCUGGAGCAAGCUAGGGGGCAAUGGAAUUCCCGGUGUAGUGGUGGAAUGCGUAGAUAUCGGGAGGAACACCAGUGGCGAAGGCGACUACCUGGCCUGUUUCUUGACGCUGAGGCGCGAAAGCUAGGGGAGCAAACGGGG